UAGAUUUUUAUUGUGGGUAGUAGUCACAAAGAGCAGUGUUAUUGUAUUAAAAGAACCAUCUGUACCAGAAACAAUGGGUUGAAAUUGUCUUUGAAUACCCAGUGAAAAAUAUAAAGCCUUUCCUUCUCAUUAUGUUUGAUGGGGGGUGGCAGACUUGGUAUAACUGACUUUUGUUGUUCUUGAUGCAUUCUUCUUCUGUCCUUUUUUCAAAAACGGCCCCUUUUCAGAUUGUGUGUCGCCAUAAACGGCUUUUCUUGUUCCAGGGCUGGCGACGGAGAGACUACCGUUCAGCGACAAGACUGCUCUGCAGCUCGCUGGAGUUGGAGCUCUGUGCCCGGGUGAGCUGGCCAGCCAGGCAGGCAUGGAAGCAGGCUUACCCUGCGAACACAGUUGUUAUAGCUUUCGCUGGAAAAACUGUCAGAUGGGCUUGCCGGCACCCAGCUUACAUUGGAGGGAUACAUCGUUCUGCCAAUCAACCCGCGAUAGGAACUACUUCCAAACUGAAGCUGAUAACAAGCAGCUGUCUAGACUGGAUGUGGAGGAUGCCAGAAGAUCCGUCUCUAUCCAGAGGAGGGGGAGAUUAAACUACCAUAAUGUUGAAGAUUGGCAUCAAGGUAUACCAACAUCUGCAACGCUCGACAAAGAAAUGGCGCCAUGAAUACCGGCAAAAAGUCCUCUCAAGAACCGCCAGCUAGCGCACAGACAAAAGAAGAGCU